rnacentral:lncRNA from 1 species
AAAAGAAGCAAUGUAGGUCUUUCUUUUGUCCACAGGCAUUACAUCAACAUAACCACCGUGAUUUCGAACCACUCCGAAGGCCAACCUUAAAGGUGACUGCAACGGUAAGACCCCUCCCCAAUCUAAUCUAGCAAAUACCUGUUCUGUCCAAACAGUAGGCUUUAGAGUAUCAAAGCAAUAAAAAGCAAAUUACCAGGUUUUUCAGGGAGUCAGCUGGAGGAUUCUUUUGCUUCUGCUGUCUCCCUUACACUCAAGCACAAGCCCCAAAUAAAAGCCUUGUCUGGGAAAUCUGUUUGGCCCGUGUUAACUUUCAUUACAUUGGAAGCCAAAGAGUCUGUGGUCUAUAAAAAUUCCAUUGUCUGGCUUCUUUUGUGUCUAUUUUCUUUUAUUUCAAUAUUUUUGUGAGGUUUAUUCCUGUUGUUGUAUGUAGCUAUAUAUACAAUAGCUAUAUGACCAAUUUUAAAAAAACUUUGGCUGGGUGCGGUGGUUCAUGACUGUACUCUCAGCACUUUGGGAGGCCGAGGCGGGUGGAUCAUUUGAGGUCAGGAGUUCGUGACUCACCUGGGCAUGGUGAAACCUCAUCUCUACUAAAACUAAAAAAUAAAAAUUAAAAAUAAAAAAAGAGCCAGGCGUAGUGGCGCAUGCCUGUAAUCCCAGCUACUUGGGAGGCUGAAGUAGGAGAAUCGCUUGAACCUGAGAGGCAGAGGUUGCAGUGAGCUGAGAUCGCAUCAUUACACUCCAAGCUCGGUAUAAAUAAAUAAAUAAAUAAAUAAAAACAACUUUAAAACUUCAUUUUUAUGUGUUUUUCACCACCCUUGCUUCCCUCUAUGCAGCUGGAAAAAAAAAGUCAGUAAUUUCUAUAUGUACUUCUGUGCUUUUACUUUGAUGAACAUACCACAAUUUAUUUGUCCAUUCUGUUGUUGAAUAUUAGGAUUGCUUCCAGUUUAGGACUAUUAAAAAUAGUACUGCCAAGAGCAAUCUCACAUAUGUCUUUUUGUGCACAUAUUUACACUUUUUGAAAAAUUGGCUAUGUAGUUUCGAGCAGAACUACUGGGACCUAAGGUAUGCUUCUGCACAACUCAGGUAGAUAAACUAGGUUGUAUACCUUCUUAUUAUUAAUUUGUAAGGUUUUUUUUUUGUUUUUGGUAUAUGUCCUUUUUAGACAUAAAGUAUAUCAUACAUUUAUUAUUCCUCUCCUUGCUUUGUCUUUUCAGUUUCUUAAUCCUAUCUGCUGAUGAACAGAACGUCCUAAUUUUAAUUAAGUCCAGUUUAUAGUCUGGACUUUAUAGUCUUUUCCUUUAUAGUCUGUGGGACCUUUAGAGAAAUAUUUGCUUAUCCUAGAAUCAUGGAAAAAAGUCUCCUGUGUUAUCUUCUGGCAUUAUUAUUUUACAUUUUACAGUUAGAUCUUUGAUCUAUCUGAAAUAGGUUUUUGUGUUAUAAUGUGAAGAAGGAAUAAUUUAAGAUUACAAUGAUUACAUAUAAAGCUUACAUUUCUUGUCAACACUAUUAAAACAAUUCAUGAAUUUGUUCUGGAGAACAUUCAAGUUUCAGAAAUAAGAGAGAGAAAAAAUGCCAUUGUUCUUUAAAUCUAGAAUUAUUAUGAUGUUUCAAUUGGAUUAUUUAAAAAUAUAACUGCUGAAAUAUGGAUGAAACUGGAGGCCAUUAUUCUAAGUGAAAUAACUCAGAAACGGAAAGUCAAAUACUACAUGACCUCACUUAUAAGUGGGGCAUAAGCAGUGGGAACACAUGUACAUACGGAGUGUAAUGAUAGACACUGGAGACUCCGACAGGUGGGAGGGUGGGAGGAGGUUCAGGGAUGGAAAAUUACCUGUUGGGUAUAAUGUUCACUAUCCGAUGACUUCACCACUACACAAUAUAUCCAUGUAACAAAACUACACUAAAUCCAUGAAAUUUUUGAAAAGAAAAAAGUAUAUUACUGCUAAGGCCUAUAUUAAUGCCAUAAUCUGAAAACUCCUUAUUUCUUGAUUGUGGAAAAGUAAUCAUUUUAAGCUUAUUUUUAGAUUUGCAGACCCACUUCGUCAUCUGUUCUUUGAAGUUUGACUGAUCUUCAAUCACUAAAUGUAAUAAUUCAUUUUUAAUUUUCUUCUGCAGCUUUACUGUCCUUUGUGCAUCUGAAAGAAAUGUCAAUAAUUUCUCUAUGUGUUUCUGUGCUUUUCUUGAUACUGUUUUCACAGCUUGAAGUCUCUUCCAUGUAUUUUUUCUGAGUAUGAACACCCUUACCAUCCCCAUUGCAAAGAUGUUAAUUGUUCUAGCCAGCCAUUUUUUUCUGGUACUUCUCAUUUCUCUAAAUCUAAUCACUUUCUAUUCUGUAAAUUAUAGCUAUUCAUAUACUUGUUGUAUUUCUCCCACAAUGCUAAAAUCUUGCGAAGAGAGAUUAUGAUGAUAUGAUCUUUGUAUUUCUUGCCAUGUGUGUUUAAUGAACAAAUAAAUUUGGAUUUUUGGAAUAUUUAGUAUUUCUUAGAAAAGUACACACAUGUCCCUGGAUGUACCAGACAUAGCAUAAUUGCUCCCUACAAUAUCUGCAGACCCACUACCAUGAACAGCUUUUCAGUAAGCAGUUAAGAAGUACUGCCCCAGUCAUUCACUGAGAUUAAAAUGUAUAUAUGUAAAUAUUUCUUUUAAAGAAGGAGAGAGGGAAAUGCAAUCCAUUUCUAGACCAUUCACCCUUUUCAAUAUACUCUUCCUAACAUCCACAGAAAAAUGUUUUCUUGAGAGAGGACUCAAAUAUUUAUUAAGAAUUGUAUUUCAGAAUGAUGCUCUGUUUAACUGAUACUCUACUAUGUAUAUUU